AUGGCGAUGGCAAGGGUGCCCAUCCUCAUCGCGGUAGCUCUCGUGGCUGCAGCGGCCUCCUGCAGCGCAUGGGAGCCCACCAUCCGUAUGCCAACGGCCGAGGCUGCAGCUGCUGCGGUCGACGACGCGGUGGCGCCGCUCAUCCACGCACUGCGCCCGCUGCUGGGCUCCAGCGGAGAGCUCGGCAGCCGCGGCGGCGUGCCGUGCGACAGCUGGAGGCUGGGCGUGGAGGCGUACAACGUGCGUGACUGGAAGACUGUCCCCGCCAACUGCGAGGGCUACGUGGGGCACUACAUGCUCGGCAGCCACUUCCGGCGCGACUCCAAGGUCGUCAUCGACCAGGCCAUUGCCUACGUCGACAGCCUCAAGCUCGCCAGCAACGGCAAGGAGGUGUGGGUCUUCGACAUCGACGAGACCACGCUCUCCAACCUCCCUUACUACGCCACGCACGGCUUCGGGGCUAGGCCAUACAACGCGACGAGCUUCGACGCGUACGUGCUGGAGGGGACCGCGCCGGCGCUGCCGGAGAGUAAGCGGCUGUACUACAAGCUGCUCAAGGUGGGCAUCAAGCCGGUGUUCAUCACAGGCCGGACGGAAGACAAGAGGGCCAUCACCGUCGCCAACCUCCGCAGCCAGGGCAUCUCCGGGUGGAUGAACCUGACGCUCAAGCAGCCCGGGUUCCAUGGCUCCGCGAUAUCCUACAAGUCCGCCCAGAGGAAGAAGCUGCAGGACGCCGGGUAUGUCAUCGUUGGCAACAUCGGCGACCAGUGGAGCGACCUCCUCGGCGCGCCCGAGGGAGCUCGUACUUUCAAGCUGCCCGACCCACUCUACUACAUCGGCUAG
rnacentral:rRNA from 1 species